rnacentral:rRNA from 1 species
CCUACGGGAGGCUGCAGUGAGGAAUAUUGGUCAAUGGGCGGGAGCCUGAACCAGCCAAGCCGCGUGAAGGAAGAAGGCGCUAGGGGUUGUAAACUUCUUUUGUCGGGGAACAAAGGGCUCCACGCGUGGGGUUGUGAGUGUACCCGAAGAAAAAGCAUCGGCUAACUCCGUGCCAGCAGCCGCGGUAAUACGGAGGAUGCGAGCGUUAUCCGGAUUUAUUGGGUUUAAAGGGUGCGUAGGCGGUCCGGAAAGUCAGCGGUAAAAGCUCGGGGCUCAACCGCGGCGAGCCGUUGAAACUGUCGGACUAGAGACGGCGAGAGGUAGGCGGAAUGCGCGGUGUAGCGGUGAAAUGCAUAGAUAUCGCGCAGAACUCCGAUUGCGAAGGCAGCGUACCGGCGCCGGACUGACGCUGAGGCACGAAAGCGUGGGUAUCGAACAGGAUUAGAUACCCCAGUAGUC